GUGAGUCAGGGUGGGGCUGG
rnacentral:miRNA from 1 species